CCCCCGCUUCCCCUUCCCUCCCUGAGCGGGGCCGAUCGUGCAAGCGAAAGGCAUUCGGCCCCGGAGAAUAUCCCUGUUCUCCGGGGUUUUUUUU
rnacentral:ncRNA from 1 species